AAAUGGUUUUCUUUACCCCGUCUUGUAACACGGACCAAGGAGUCUAACAUAUGUGCGAGUACAUGGGUGACAAACCUACGUGCGCAAUGAAAGUAACAGUGGUUGGAUCCGGUAAAACGGUGCACAAUCCGCCGGCCACAAUCCUUCGGGAGAAAGGUCUGAGUGUGAGCACACAUGUUGGGACCCGAAAGAUGGUGAACUAUGCCUGAAUAGGGUGAAGCCAGGGGAAACUCUGGUGGAGGCUCGCAGCGGUUCUGACGUGCAAAUCGAUCGUCAAAUUUGGGUAUAGGGGCGAAAGACUAAUCGAACCAUCUAGUAGCUGGUUCCUGCCGAAGUUUCCCUCAGGAUAGCAGUGUUGAUCUUCAGUUUUAUGAGGUAAAGCGAAUGAUUAGGGAAUCGGGGGCUAAUUUUUGCCUUCAUCCAUUCUCAAACUUUAAAUAUGUAAGAAGCCCUUGUUACUUAAUUGAACGUGGGCAUUCGAAUGUACCAACACUAGUGGGCCAUUUUUGGUAAGCAGAACUGGCGAUGCGGGAUGAACCGAACGCGAGGUUAAGGUGCCGGAGUGGACGCUCAUCAGACACCACAAAAGGUGUUAGCACAUUUAGACAAUAGGACGGUGGCCAUGGAAGUCGGAAUCCGCUAAGGACUGUGUAACAACUCACCUAUCGAAUGUGCUAGCCCUGAAAAUGGAUGGCGCUGAAGCGGGUCACUUAUACUCGACCGUUAAGGCAAGAGCUAAGCCUUAACGAGUAGGAGGGCGUCACGGUUGUUGUGCAGCUUGCGGCGUAAGCCGGAGUGAAACGGCCGUCAGUGCAGAUCUUGGUGGUAGUAGCAAAUA
rnacentral:rRNA from 1 species